rnacentral:rRNA from 1 species
AUUGAACGCUGGCGGCAGGCCUAACACAUGCAGGUCGAGCGGAUGAAGGGAGCUUGCUCCUGGAUUCAGCGGCGGACGGGUGAGUAAUGCCUAGGAAUCUGCCUGGUAGUGGGGGAUAACGUCCGGAAACGGGCGCUAAUACCGCAUACGUCUUGAGGGAGAAAGUGGGGGAUCUUCGGACCUCACGCUAUCAGAUGAGCCUAGGUCGGAUUAGCUAGUUGGUGGGGUAAAGGCCUACCAAGGCGACGAUCCGUAACUGGUCUGAGAGGAUGAUCAGUCACACUGGAACUGAGACACGGUCCAGACUCCUACGGGAGGCAGCAGUGGGGAAUAUUGGACAAUGGGCGAAAGCCUGAUCCAGCCAUGCCGCGUGUGUGAAGAAGGUCUUCGGAUUGUAAAGCACUUUAAGUUGGGAGGAAGGGCAGUAAGUUAAUACCUUGCUGUUUUGACGUUACCAACAGAAUAAGCACCGGCUAACUUCGUG